GAUGAACGCUGGCGGCGUGCCUAAUACAUGCAAGUCGAGCGAACAGAUGAGGAGCUUGCUCCUCUGACGUUAGCGGCGGACGGGUCAGUAACACGUGGAUAACCUACCUAUAAGACUGGGAUAACUUCGGGAAACCGGAGCUAAUACCGGAUAAUAUAUUGAACCGCAUGGUUCAAUAGUGGAAGACGGUUUUGCUGUCACUUAUAGAUGGAUCCGCGCCGCAUUAGCUAGUUGGUAAGGUAACGGCUUACCAAGGCAACGAUGCGUAGCCGACCUGAGAGGGUGAUCGGCCACACUGGAACUGAGACACGGUCCAGACUCCUACGGGAGGCAGCAGUAGGGAAUCUUCCGCAAUGGGCGAAAGCCUGACGGAGCAACGCCGCGUGAGUGAUGAAGGUCUUCGGAUCGUAAAACUCUGUUAUUAGGGAAGAACAAAUGUGUAAGUAACUAUGCACGUCUUGACGGUACCUAAUCAGAAAGCCACGGCUAACUACGUG
rnacentral:rRNA from 1 species